ensembl:lncRNA
GGGGGUGAUGAUGGCAGAGGGUGAUGUCUGGGCAGUGCCUGAUGACAUCCUCCUAAUAACCCAGGGAGGUGGUGGGCGUGACCAGCCCCUGACUGCAGCACAGAGUCCUUUCUGUGAAACUCCACGUCUCCUGGCCCAGUGGGGAUGGAGCUGCAGUGCCACGCCUAGCAUGUGGCCCUAGGACCCAGAGCCCCCGUGUGGCCUGGGCAGUGGAGAAAAGAGGGAGGGAGGGCCCUGUGGAUUCUUUCAGAGGAAGUGGGGUGCUCUCCUGGCCCAGUUCCAUUCCCAAGUGAGCAAGGAGCUGGGGCCAGGUUCCUGCCAGGUGCCCUGCCAUUUCUGCGAGCCGUGCUCAUCUCCAGAAACAGUGAAUGAGGGGUUCUGGCGGUGUCCAGCUAAGCCCUCAGCAGGUGGGCAGUAACUUUAGGAAGCUCUGGCUUCUCGCCGAGAUACCGGAGAGUUUUAAAUCCAUUCCCGCCAGGGAGGCCCUGGGCCGGCAGGAAGCGGGGAAGGAACCCUGAGCUGCAGCCUUUGAGAUGGGAGCCCUGGGGAUCGGCAGCAUCCGGCCGGGGCUCCAGCGUGCCCCAGGCUCAGGCACCUCCCACGUGUCCACAGCUUCUACCUUCUAUUUAGGGUUAGGGAGCAUCGGCCCCACUUUACAAGUGAGGAGGUUGAGGCUCAGUGAAGCUAAGUGCCUUGGCCAAGGUCACACAGCCAGACUUCCUAGGUCUAUGGUCAGGACUCUGGAAAGCCUCACUCAUGCCUCUCCAGCCUCAUCCCUGAUCUGAGGGAUUUCUGGCCUCCUGGCCCUUCCCGUGAGAUUGUUCCUCUUCUUACCCCCAGUUGCACAGAAGGGAUUUUUCCCCCGAGGAGAGGGAACUUUCCCACUCCUCCAAAGGAGAAGCCCAGCAGCCCCUGGGAGUCCUGCACAGGUGGCCUCUGGGGCAGGGACCGAGGCUUCCAGCUGUGCCCCCAUGCCCAGACCCUGACAGCAUGUAUGAGAGGGGAGAUAGUCUUGCCUGUUAAAUUAAAGCUGAAAGGAAGGAUGACUUCAGUUGGGGACAAAAGAAAGGCCAUUUAAGCUGAGCCUCAGGAGGUUAGCCCUUUGAGAGUAGAGCAGAGAGCAAGACUUUCCAGGGGGAGGAGACAGCGGCAGCAAAGUCCAGGGGUGACAAAGCAGGCGAGCUCCAGGGGGAGGGCGGCAGUUUCCCCAGGGGUGGGGAGGCUGGAUGACGGCCCCACGCAAGAACAGGGCAGGCAUGUUUCUAGAGGGAUCCAGAAGGUACAUGACCCACUGGGGUCUUAGGAAAAAGGGCUCCUCUCUCUGUCCCCACCCAGAUCUCGGCCCCACAAGGAUGCUUAAGGUGGGCUCAGGCUCCCAGGUUGGCAGGGACCUCUCCCCUAGGUCUGGCUGCGUUCCGCAGAGGCUUCCCUGUCCCUUCCCAUUUCCUGUCAAGCCUGACACCCAGGGGCAGCAGCUGCCCAUGGGCAGGGCCUGACCAUGGCGGCAGGCCUGGUCUCUCGGCCGGCAGGUCAGAGCUCCCAUCUCCGGCCCUUGCUUGUUUCCUUCAGUGGUGCAAGGAACCCCAAACUCUUUGCUCUAGAACCUGAGUCCCAGUCCUGGUGGGGACAGGUGACCAGAAUGGCCCCUGGGGUGCCAGGAAAGGUCUCCUGUAUCCCCUCGUGCCCCUGACAUCCUCCCAUCAGUAACUGAUGAUGACGUGGAGAGCUGCCCUUGAUGAAACACCUACACUGCCUGCGCCUGUGCUGCGCUUGGCACUUUCCACCCAGGUCUCAUUUGAGACUCCUGACAACCGCUCCCCUCCUUGUGUGUGGGGAGGAACUGCGGCCCCAAGAAGUGAUGCAGCUCGUUCAAGGUCACCAUCACUGAACAGCUCAGCAUCAGAGUCUAUGCUUCCACCCGUGCCAUGGCGAUCCCAGCUCCAAGCUGGGGAUUGGUAAGGCUGGGCACGUGGUGUUGCACAGCUUGGGCUGGGCACAGGUGGACAGGAGUCCUGAGCAGCGAGCAAGGCCAGGAGCUGACACACUGGGCCUAGAAGGAAGGCGAGGAUCUGGGUGCAGGGAGACAAGGGCCCAUCAGCAGCCCUCGGUCAUCCUGAGCCCAGGUUGGCUUCUUCCCCACCUCAGAGUCCUUAGCAUCCAUGGCACAGGUGUGGGGCUUUGGAAGGAGAGUCCGGAGGCCUGGCUUCUGGUCCUGGCUGCACCCUUGGUGAAGCUUACUUGGGGGAUCCUGCCUUGGGGCCUCAGUUGGUUCAUCUAUAGAAUGGGAUGGGGUGGGGGUCACACAAGGCUCACCCCUCCAGCCACUCUGUCCUUCAUGCUCCUUGAACUCUGUGCUGGGUCCUCUUUCCCAGGCUCUGCUCUGGCUGUUCUCUCUGCCCAAAGUGCCUCCUUCACAGCUGACACCCCAUCAUUCUGGUUUCACUUGGCAUGUCACCUGCUCACAGAGGGCUCCUCCACUCCACCCCAGUGUUCCCAGUCACACCGCCCUGCUGUCCUUUUCCCAUCACUCUGCGGCAAGGCAGUCAGGGUACUGGUUAGGGCAGGGACUCUAGAGUCAAACUGCCUGGGUUCAGAUCCCCAAGGCCACCACUUAGAGCUGGACGAUCUUGGCAGUAACCUCUCUGUAUCUCAUUUUCCUCACCUAUAAAACAGGGUCAAAAAACAAACAAACAGCAGGAGUUCCCGUCGUGGCGCAGUGGUUAACGAAUCCGACUAGGAACCAUGAGGUUGCGGGUUCGGUCCCUGCCCUUGCUCAGUGGGUUGACGAUCCGGUGUUGCCAUGAGCUGUGAUAUAGGUCACAGACGCGGCUCGGAUCCCGCGUUGCUGUGGCUCUGGCGUAGACCGGUGUCUACAGCUCCGAUUCGACCCCUAGCAUGGGAACCUCCAUAUGCCGUGGGAGCGGCCCAAGAAAU